AGUGAACGCUGGCGGUAGGACUAACACAUGCAAGUCGAACGAGUGGCGGACGGGUGAGGAAUACAUCGGAAUCUACUCUGUCGUGGGGGAUAACGUAGGGAAACUUACGCUAAUAACGAAUCCGAUUGAAUGAACCGAUGUCGGAUUAGCUAGUUGGCGGGGUAAAGGACAACCAAGGAGACGAUCCGUAGCGGGUCAGAGAGGAUGAUCAGCCACACUGGAACUGAGACACGGUCCAGACUCCUACGGGAGGCAGCAGUGGGGAAUAUUGGACAAUGGGCGCAAGCCUGAUCCAGCCAUACCGCGUGGGUGAAGAAGGCCUUCGGGUUGUAAAGCCCUUUUGUUGGGAAAGCGGUACCCAAAGAAUAAGCACCGGCUAACUUCGUGCCAGCAGCCGCGGUAAUUC
rnacentral:rRNA from 1 species